UCAAGAGAGGGAAGGUCAAGGUGGCAGCGCAUAUAAACUCGUUAUUAGAGGAAUAACAGCAAUAAUUUAAAUAAAAAAACACUACAUUAUGUCAUUUGAUGCUGUGAAAUGGUAUAGGCGCACAUCACUCAUGUAUGCAGUCGGAAUUUGGACUUUGUUUGGGGCCUGUGUGUUUUACAAAUCUUACAAACACGACUCACCAGUGAGAAUAUCUGAAGAAAAAAAAAACACAGCUACUAAUGUGAAAGCAGUAAAAUCAUCUCACAUAGCUAAAAUAUCCUACAAAGAAGAUUUUGUGCCAUAUUCCACAAGACUUUUAAAACUCCUCGGACUUACAGCUGACAGCUCUUCAGAAAGUCAAGUUACAAAAAAAUAAAAUGGACAAAACUUAAGCUUGAGGAUUUAGAAUUGCUAACAGAAAUACCCUUUUGUUCCAGUUUACUCAAUGUCUGCAUUCUAAUCUAUUAUACAGUUUAAUAGAAUAUGUAAAGAGUUUUUUUUCAAUGAAACCAACAAAUAAUACUGAUCCAGCUCAAAUACUUUCUGUUUAUUCAAUUGUGUGUAUUUGAAAUUUAUAUUGUUUACAUUGUCAGUGUUUGAGUCCAUAAACUUAAAUAAAAUUAAAUCGGACAACAUGACAUCUUUGCUAAGCAUAACAAUCUGCCAACUAAAAUCCAUCAGUCAACAGUAAUGGUCUUGUAAUCAGGACAAAACGUGUGUAAAGCCACACUGUGCAGCCAUGAUGUGCAGAAUGUUGUAGUUGGUCAGCCUAAACAUUAUUUUUUAGUACUUUUGUCAGUUAAUUAAAAGUUCAAGAGAAUUACUACA